CUCAAAUCAGGUAGGACUACCCGCUGAACUUAAGCAUAUCAAUA
rnacentral:rRNA from 4 species